CCUACGGGAGGCAGCAGUGAGGAAUAUUGGUCAAUGGACGAGAGUCUGAACCAGCCAAGUAGCGUGAAGGAUGACUGCCCUAUGGGUUGUAAACUUCUUUUAUAAAGGAAUAAAACGAGGCACGUGUGCCUGUUUGCAUGUACUUUAUGAAUAAGGAUCGGCUAACUCCGUGCCAGCAGCCGCGGUAAUACGGAGGAUCCGAGCGUUAUCCGGAUUUAUUGGGUUUAAAGGGAGCGUAGAUGGGUUGUUAAGUCAGUUGUGAAAGUUUGCGGCUCAACCGUAAAAUUGCAAUUGAUACUGGCAGUCUUGAGUACAGUUGAGGUAGGCGGAAUUCGUGGUGUAGCGGUGAAAUGCUUAGAUAUCACGAAGAACCCCGAUUGCGAAGGCAGCUUACUAAACUGUGACUGACAUUGAUGCUCGAAAGUGUGGGUAUCAAACAGGAUUAGAUACCCCGGUAGUC
rnacentral:rRNA from 1 species